GCGGCCUUAUCUUAACUGGUAGAGAGCCAAACUGUGAAUUUGGUAAGUAUGGAUUCGAUUUCCAUAGGUCGCCCCA
rnacentral:tRNA from 1 species